rnacentral:ribozyme from 1 species
UACCUGCUGUUUACCUCAGUAAACCGAAAUUGGAAAUUCUGCAAGAUGAGAAAGACGAUAGGUAUAUUACCCUCUGCGACGUCGUACCAAUAUUGAUUCCUGACGAUCCUCUAAACCUGUCAAAUUCAAUG